ACACAUGCAGUCGAGCGGUAGUAGAGAAGAUUGCUUCUCUUGAGAGCGGCGGACGGGUGAGUAAUGCCUAGGAAUCUGCCUGGUAGUGGGGGAUAACGUUCGGAAACGAACGCUAAUACCGCAUACGUCCUACGGGAGAAAGCAGGGGACCUUCGGGCCUUGCGCUAUCAGAUGAGCCUAGGUCGGAUUAGCUAGUUGGUGAGGUAAUGGCUCACCAAGGCGACGAUCCGUAACUGGUCUGAGAGGAUGAUCAGUCACACUGGAACUGAGACACGGUCCAGACUCCUACGGGAGGCAGCAGUGGGGAAUAUUGGACAAUGGGCGAAAGCCUGAUCCAGCCAUGCCGCGUGUGUGAAGAAGGUCUUCGGAUUGUAAAGCACUUUAAGUUGGGAGGAAGGGCAUUAACCUAAUACGUUAGUGUUUUGACGUUACCGACAGAAUAAGCACCGGCUAACUCUGUGCCAGCAGCCGCGGUAAUACAGAGGGUGCAAGCGUUAAUCGGAAUUACU
rnacentral:rRNA from 1 species